rnacentral:lncRNA from 1 species
UGGCGGGCAACCGACAGCGUCAUUGCAUCAGUACUGCAAUAAAUUCUGCAGUCAAACUUUGUUCAUUAUGCAAUUCAACAUUUUAGUGGAUGUGUGAGCAACAAAAGUUCAACACUCACCUUUUGUCACUAUUUCUGGAAAGUCUACGCAUACAAUUUGACGCAAACGUUGGAUAACUCCAAUGUAUAUACACCACAGAGAAACCACUACAACUGUAUGGCGUCAAAUCCGAUUAAAAAAAGUCGAACGGGCGCCAUCGCGCGAGAAAGCAAGAUGAAACAUCAUUGCGCAGUCAAACACUUUUACCGAGAGAAAAUGUGGUCGAGCGAGCAUAGGACGUUUUCCGAGAGCGCAGGCCAACGUGGUGUGCGCAAAUUAAACUUGAGGACUUGCAAGUGUGACUUUGAGCGAGCGCAACUGCAUUAAAUGAAUUUGACAGCAGAGACUUUUGUUUGCCUGAAGAAAUACUUACUACAUGUCAAGACUCAGAAAUGACUGCACUGUCACAAAUAUGCCGCUUCCACACACGGAUGUAUUUUCAUCCCACUCACACCAAUUUUCCAGUCUGUUCUCCAAAACCCAUUUUGCUCUCGCAACCGCUUACUAUAAUUUUAGAACAGGGGGACAUUUUGACCAUACAGAUGAAAGAGGACGGUGAAAGAUGAACGAUGACUGACAAUAAUAAAGAGGUCUACUGUCACAAGUAUGUGGUGGUGAAGUUGUUCUCUGCCCAGCUGACAGAGACAGGAGAUACAGAGACAGGAGUCCAUUCUAUUACAAAAAGAUCAUGUUUGACCAGGUGGAGUCAGGCUUCUACUUCAUCGCCCUGGACCACUACACGAACGAGCCAGAAGACGUUAAGUUUGGACCAAUUGUCCAGUCUGCUGAGAGGGUCAUUGGCUGCCACCUGCCCUCCAUUAAGGUUCCUGCACGACUCCAGGGUAAGGAAGCGUGCAGGAAAGAUCAUCGCCAACCCCUUCCACCCUUUCUUCCAAAGACUCCCAUCUGGCAAACGGUUCAAGUCAAUCACGAUCGAAACUUCCCGCCACCUGAACCGUUUCUUCCCCCGUGCUAUGGCCCUCACCAACCGGCCACCUGGUCCACAAUGAUCCUCUCAUCCAUGGACUCUGCGUUAUUCAUCCAGACUAUGCACCGUGCGCUAUCAUCUUACAUUCAUCAUUUAUAAUGUAGCUUAUAGUGUUCAUACUGAAUGUGGAUCUAUGGAAAUUCUGCAUAUAUAUUUUUGGGCUGUUUAUUAUGGCAGCACCAUUUCACAGAGUCAAAUUCCUGUACAUGCACAUUUCUGGCGAAUAAAACUGAUUCUGAUUCUAAAGCUGAUUCUAAAGCUGGUUUAUCAUAUGUCAGUUUAGAUUUUAAGUGAUAAUGCAAGAGAAGCCGGUGUUUGGAGGACAUAUUGGCACUGGUGUUGUUAUGCCCGAGACAAAGUCUAAAUGUUCCUUUGCCAUACUGGCUGGCAAUGUUAUUUUUCCUUGCUUGCUAACUAGCCAACUACAGCUAAAAUACGAUCACG